UCCUACGGGGCGCAGCAGUGGGGAAUAUUGCACAAUGGGGGGAACCCUGAUGCAGCGACGCCGCGUGAGUGAAGAAGUAUUUCGGUAUGUAAAGCUCUGUCAGCAGGGAAGAAGAAAGACGGUACCUGACCAAGAAGCCCCGGCUAACUACGUGCCAGCAGCCGCGGUAAUACGUAGGGGGCAAGCGUUAUCCGGAUUUACUGGGUGUAAAGGGAGCGUAGACGGUUAAGUAAGUCUGGAGUGAAAGGCCGGGGCCCAACCCCGGGACUGCUCUGGAAACUAUUGAACUUGAGUGCAGGAGCGGG
rnacentral:rRNA from 1 species